CACAGGCCCACUACUUCACAGAACCGACAGGAAUGCUUCCUUUUGCCAUGUUCGUUGAGGAUGUGGGUGAAGUGAAGUGGCACCAAGCAAAGGAGUUCCUAAAAUUUUAAGAAGAUGUGAGGGUAUGGGCGGCUUUCCAUUUAUCCAGAAGUCCAACAUAGGUCACUUGAAAACGCCAAAAGAAGGCCAAACGUGUUGUGAAUCUGGAAGAUGAGUUAACUAGCAUCAUGGAAGACCCAAAGACCUCAGCUUCUCAGGCUGGUGAAACAUUUUGAGCCAGAAGCUAAUGGCAGAGACUGAAUGGGAGAAAAACACUGCUCACCUUAUGGCAGCCAAAAGCAGCAAGAGAAAGAGCAAGCCAAAGGUGAAGAAGC
ensembl:lncRNA